GUCCUAGCUGUAACGAUGGAUACUAGAUGUUGUGUAAUUUAAAUUAUGCAGUGUCGUAGCUAACGCGUUAAGUAUCCCGCCUGGGAAGUAUGCUCGCAAGAGUGAAACUCAAAGGAAUUGACGGGGCCCGCACAAGCGGUGGAGCAUGUGGUUUAAUUCGAUGCAACACGAAGAACCUUACCAGGACUUGACAUGAAGAGAAGUUUUCCUAAAAGAGAAUGUGCUACGGCCUCUUACACAGGUGGUGCAUGGCUGUGGU
rnacentral:rRNA from 1 species